rnacentral:rRNA from 1 species
CCUACGGGUGGUCAGCAGUGGGGGAUAUUGCACAAUGGGGGAAACCCUGAUGCAGCGACGCCGCGUGGGUGAAGAAGCGCCUCGGCGCGUAAAGCCCUGUCAUCAGGGAAGAAAAUGCCGGUACCUGAAGACGACGCCCCGGCUAACUCCGUGCCAGCAGCCGCGGUAAUACGUAGGGGGCAAGCGUUAUCCGGAUUUACGGGGUGUAAAGGGGGCGCAGACGGCGAUGCAAGCCAGGAGUGAAAGCCCGGGGCCCAACCCCGGGACUGCUGUUGGAACUGCGUGGCUAGAGUGCGGGAGGGGCAGGCGGAAUUCCUGGUGUAGCGGUGAAAUGCGUAGAUAUCAGGAGGAACACCGGUGGCGAAGGCGGCCUGCUGGACUGCAACUGACGUUGAGGCCCGAAAGCGUGGGGAGAAAACAGGAUUAGAUACCCCAGUAGUC